UACGUAGGCAGCAAGCGUUGUUCGGAGUUACUGGGCGUAAAGGGUGCGUAGGCGGCUCUAUAGGUAUGGUGUGAAAUCUCCCGGCUUAACCGGGAGGGUGCGCCGUAGACUGUGGGGCUAGAGUGUGGGAGAGGAAAGUGGAAUUCCUGGUGUAGCGGUGAAAUGCGUAGAUAUCAGGAGGAACACCGGUGGGGUAAACGGCUUUCUGGACCAUAACUGACGCUGAGGCACGAAAGCGUGGGUAGCAAACAGG
rnacentral:rRNA from 1 species